rnacentral:rRNA from 1 species
CUGGGUUUGACAUCUCCGGACAAACGUAGAGAUACGUCUUUCGUAGCAAUACGACCGGAAGACAGGUGCUGCAUGGCUGUCGUCAGCUCGUGUGGUGACAUGUUGGGUUAAGUCCCGCAACGAGCGCAACCCUUGUCCUUAGUUGCCAGCAUUCAGUUGGGCUCUCUAAGGAGACUGCCGUGGUGAACACGGAGGAAGGUGGGGAUGACGUCAAGUCCUCAUGGCCUUUAUAUCCAGGGCGACACACGUGAUACAAUGGACGGUACAGAGGGAAGCGAAGCCGCGAGGGGGAGCCAAUCUCAAAAAGCCGUUCUCAGUUCGGAUUGGAGUCUGCAACUCGACUCCAUGAAGUUGGAAUCGCUAGUAAUCGCGGAUCAGCACGCCGCGGUGAAUACGUUCCC